rnacentral:rRNA from 1 species
CUACGGGCGGCUGCAGUUAAGAAUAAUCUACAAUGCACGCAAGUGUGAUAGUUUGAGCCAGAGUGAUUCUCCAUACGGAGCGUCUUUUAUGGAGUGCAAAAAGCUCCAAGAAUAGGGACUGGGUAAGACUAGUGCCAGCCGCCGCGGUAAUACUAGCGGUCCAAGUCGCAGCCAUUUUUAUUGGGUCUAAAACAUCCGUAGCUUGCUUGAUCAGUUCCUCGUGAAAUCCUGCGUCCUAAGCGUGGGGCGAGCGGGGAAUACUGUCAAGCUAGAGAUCGGGAGACGUAACGAGUACGUUCAAAGUAGCGGUAAAAUGUUUUAAUCUUGAACGGACUAACAAUAGCGAAGGCACGUUACGAGAACGGUUCUGACAGUCAGGGAUGAAGGCUAGGGGCGCAAAACGGAUUAGAUACCCGCGUAGUC